AGAGUUUGAUCAUGGCUCAGAUUGAACGCUGGCGGCAUGCCUAACACAUGCAAGACGAACGGUAACGCGGAGAGCUUGCUCUCUGGCGACGAGUGGCGGACGGGUGAGUAAUACUUAGGAAUCUGCCCAAUAGUGGGGGACAACAUUCGGAAACGGAUGCUAAUACCGCAUACGCACUACGGUGGAAAGUGGGGGACCUUCGGGCCUCACGCUAUUGGAUGAGCCUAAGUCGGAUUAGCUUGUUGGUGAGGUAAAAGCUCACCAAGGCGACGAUCCGUAGCUGGUCUGAGAGGACGAUCAGCCACACUGGGACUGAGACACGGCCCAGACUCCUACGGGAGGCAGCAGUGGGGAAUAUUGGACAAUGGGCGCAAGCCUGAUCCAGCAAUGCCGCGUGUGUGAAGAAGGCCUGCGGGUUGUAAAGCACUUUCAGUAGAGAAGAAAAGCCUAGGGUUAAUAACCCCGAGUCUUGACGUAACCUACAGAAGAAGCACCGGCUAACUCCGUGCCAGCAGCCGCGGUAAUACGGAGGGUGCGAGCGUUAAUCGGAAUUACUGGGCGUAAAGCGCGCGUAGGCGGUUUUGUAAGUCGGAUGUGAAAGCCCUGGGCUUAACCUGGGAAUUGCAUUCGAUACUGCUUAACUAGAGUACGGUAGAGGGAAGUGGAAUUUCCGGUGUAGCGGUGAAAUGCGUAGAUAUCGGAAGGAACACCAGUGGCGAAGGC
rnacentral:rRNA from 1 species